rnacentral:rRNA from 1 species
UACAGAGGGCGCGAGCGUUGUCCGGAAUCACUGGGCGUAAAGGGCGCGUAGGUGGCCUCCAUAAGGCCGUGGUGAAAGUCUGGGGCUCAACCCCGGAUCGGCCGCGGCGACUGUGGGGCUCGGGCACUGUAGAGGCAGAUGGAAUUCCGGGUUGUAGCGGUGGAAUGCGUAGAGAUCCGGAAGAACACCAGUGGCGAAGGCGG